rnacentral:rRNA from 1 species
CAGCCGCCGCGGUAAUACGGAGGGUGCGAGCGUUAAUCGGAAUUACUGGGCGUAAAGCGCACGCAGGCGGUUUGUUAAGUCAGAUGUGAAAUCCCCGGGCUCAACCUGGGAACUGCAUUUGAAACUGGCAAGCUAGAGUCUCGUAGAGGGGGGUAGAAUUCCAGGUGUAGCGGUGAAAUGCGUAGAGAUCUGGAGGAAUACCGGUGGCGAAGGCGGCCCCCUGGACGAAGACUGACGCUCAGGUGCGAAAGCGUGGGGAGCAAACAGGAUUAGAUACCCCAGUAGUCCCUGUCUCUUAUAA